AACCAUAUGCAAUCAAUAAGGUAAAGAUAAUGAACGGUAAGCAAAGGUACAUGAUGUUAAGGAUUUUAUAGGUUGGCGAAUUUCGUAAAGUUGUUUGGAGUCUUGAAGAGUUGAUUGCAGAAGAUUUUGAGAAAAGAUUCAAAUUGGAGGACAAAGACUCAUUCGGAAAGAUCGACACCUAAGGUAUGUAGAAAAGAUCAUUUGUGGUGAAGAUACAUGUUUAAAAUAAGUUCAGAAGGCUUAGAUUGUUUUUAAACAAAUUUUCUGAACUUUCUUGUGUUCUGGGACCGGUCUCUGAAAUGGAGAGACCGGUUCCCCCAAGGUCCUCACUGCGUAAACCUUGAUGCAACCGGUCCCCUGUGAUGAGAGACCGGUUCCCGAACCUUGGUGGUUCUGUCGCGCAGCGAGGGACCGGUCUCAAGUUUGAGAGACCGGUUCCCGAACGUGGGGUUUUUGGUCACGCAGGGAGGGACCGGUUCCUCACUUGAGAGACCGGUCUCUCACAGACCGGUCUCCUCGACAGGACCGGUCUCUGAGGACGACACAGGUUUUUGAAAUCGACUUUUUGCAAUCCUAGUCUACUUCUAAGUCUUCUAAACAUAUAAAUAAGCUAUGUGGGUCAUCUAAAAUUAAGGCUUUGAAUAUUUUACCAAUUCCAAACCCUAGAAACUCGUUUUCUUCCCGUUUCAAUGCUUCGAUUUACAUGAUGAGUUUCUAGCAAUCAACAUCGGCUUGAUUCUUCGUUUUUACUCGAUACUUCUUACGAGAAUCAAGUAGAUGAUUGAUUAAAGGUGAACCCUCAUAGCUUAUGGUUUUCAAAAGUUAAAUCACCGCAAAUCUUCAAUUCUACAAGCUCCGGAAGGAGGUUCGGCGCGUGGAUCUCGCGUGAAGCCGAGGAUUCGGUGGACGCUUCGAGGAGUUGAGGCGUUGACGCUGCGAGGAGUUGCAGCAAGGUCGAUUGGUGGAUUCCUAUCGAUCGAGGACCGGCAAAGAUCACCGUCAACAAGAAAUCGGUAAAUUGAGUCGCGUGUUUUUGGUCGAAAUCACUUGUACUCAAGUUUUCUUAGUGGAUUUUCUUUGCGUGAUCGGUCCCGUGGGUUUUUCACUCCGAAUUGGAGUUUUCCCACGUUAAAUUCUCGGUGUGCUAUUUUAAUUUCCGCUAUUGUGUUUGUUUGCAUCGAGAUUUUUCGAGUUUGCCGGAUUUACACCUAUUCACCCCCCUCUAGGUGUUACUUACCUUUUAGAUCCUCGGGAUCAAUAACUU
rnacentral:lncRNA from 1 species